CCCUUAGAUGUCCGGGGCUGCACGCGCGCUACACUGAAGGAAUCAGCGUGCUAAAACCAUUGUCGAAAGGCAUUGGUAAACCCAUUAAAAUCCUACGUGAUUGGGAUCGGGAAUUGCAAUUAUUUCCCUUGAACGAGGAAUUCCCAGUAAGUGUGGGUCAUAAGCUCGCGUUGCUUACGUCCCUGCCCUUUGUACACACCGCCCGUCGCUGCCCGGGACUGAGCCGUUUCGAGAAAAGCGGGGACUGCUGCUGUCGGGGCUUUCGGGCCUUGGCUUCGGUGGAAACCGCUUUAAUCGCAGUGGCUUGAACCGGGCAAAAGUCGUAACA
rnacentral:rRNA from 1 species